CAAUAGCGUAUAUUUAAGUUGUUGCAGUUAAAAAGCUCGUAGUUGGAUUUUGGGUCGGGGGCACCGGUCCGCCGUUCCGGUGUGCACUGGUGGCCCCUUCCUUUCUGCCGGGGACGUGCGUCGCACUUAAUUGGGUGGCGUUCGGAGUCGGCGUUGUUACUUUGAAAAAAUUAGAGUGUUCAAAGCAAGCCAUCGCUCUGAAUACAUUAGCAUGGAAUAACAUGAUAGGACUCCGGUCUUAUUUUGUUGGUUUCCGAGACUGGAGUAAUGAUUAAGAGGGACAGUCGGGGGCAUCCGUAUUUCAUUGUCAGAGGUGAAAUUCUUGGAUUUAUGAAAGACGAACUUCUGCGAAAGCAUUUGCCAAGGAUGUUUCCAUUAA
rnacentral:rRNA from 1 species